UGAGUACGAGACGCUAAGGCGUCGAAGUAGUGGAUGUCAUACUUCCAAGAAAAGCUUGCACUGUCAUAAGUAAAAAACGCCUGUACCAUAACCGACACAGGUGGGUAGGUAGAGUAUACUAAGGGGCGCGAGAUAACUCUCUCUAAGGAACUCGGCAAAAUAACUCCGUAACUUCGGGAGAAGGAGUGCCUUAUUCGUAAGGCUGCAAUAACAAGAUCCAAGCAACUGUUUAUCAAAAACACAGGUCUCCGCUAAGUCGUAAGACGAUGUAUGGGGGCUGACGCCUGCCCAGUGCCAGAAGGUUAAAGAAGUCGGUUAGCAUUAGCGAAGCUGGUAACUGAAGCCCUGGUGAACGGCGGCCGUAACUAUAACGGUCCUAAGGUGGCGAAAUUCCUUGUCGGGUAAGUUCCGACCCGCACGAAAGGCGUAAUGAUUUGGAUACUGUCUCGGGGAGGGGCUCGGUGAAAUAGACUUGUCUGUGAAGAUGCGGACUACCUGCACCAGGACAGAAAGACCCUAUGAAGCUUUACUGUAACUUGAAAUUGAAAUUGGACUUUAUUCGCGCAGUAUAGGUGGGAGGUGUUGAUUAUAAUCUUGCGGGAUUAUUGGAGCCAUCAGUGAGAUACCACUCUUGUAAUGUUAGAUUUCUAACUUUGAAACAUUAUCUGGUCAAAGAACAGUUUCAGGCGGGCAGUUUGACUGGGGCGGUCGCCUCCUAAAUGGUAACGGAGGCGUACAAAGGUUUCCUCUGAACGGGUAGAAAUCGUAUCUAGAGUGUAAAGGCAUAAGGAAGCUUGACUGUGAGACCUACAAGUCGAGCAGGGACGAAAGUCGGUCUUAGUGAUCUGACGGUACUGAGUGGAAAGGCCGUCACUCAACGGAUAAAAGUUACUCUAAGGAUAACAGGCUGAUCUCCCCCAAGAGUUCACAUCGACGGGGAGGUUUGGCACCUUGAUGUCGGCUCAUCGCAUCCUGGGGCGGUAGUACGUCCCAAGGGUUGGGCUGUUCGCCCAUGAAAGCGGUACGCGAGCUGGGUUCAGAACGUCGUGAGACAGUUCGGUCCAUAUCCGGUGUAGGCGUUAGAAUAUUGAGAGGAGCCUUCUUUAGUACGAGAGGACCGAGAAGGACAUACCUCUGGUGUACCAGUUAUCGUGCCAACGGUAAACGCUGGGUAGCUAUGUAUGGAGUGGAUAACCGCUGAAAGCAUCUAAGUGGGAAGCCCACCUCAAGAUAAGUAUUCC
rnacentral:rRNA from 1 species